rnacentral:tRNA from 1 species
AGCUCAGUUGGCAGAGCAACUGAUUCGUAAUCAGUAGGUCGGUGGUUCGAGUCCACU